GACGAACGCUGGCGGCGUGCUUAACACAUGCAAGUCGAACGGAAAGGCCCUGCUUGCAGGGUACUCGAGUGGCGAACGGGUGAGUAACACGUGGGUGAUCUGCCCUGCACUUCGGGAUAAGCCUGGGAAACUGGGUCUAAUACCGGAUAGGAGCCAUUUUUAGUGUGAUGGUUGGAAAGUUUUUUCGGUGUAGGAUGAGCUCGCGGCCUAUCAGCUUGUUGGUGGGGUAAUGGCCUACCAAGGCGGCGACGGGUAGCCGGCCUGAGAGGGUGGACGGCCACAUUGGGACUGAGAUACGGCCCAGACUCCUACGGGAGGCAGCAGGGGGGAAUAUUGCACAAUGGGCGCAAGCCUGAUGCAGCGACGCCGCGUGGGGGAUGACGGCCUUCGGGUUGUAAACUCCUUUCGCCAGGGACGAAGCUUUUUGUGACGGUACCUAGAUAAGAAGCACCGGCUAACUACGUG
rnacentral:rRNA from 1 species